rnacentral:rRNA from 1 species
AUUGAACGCUGGCGGCAGGCCUAACACAUGCAAGUCGAGCGGCAGCGGAAAGUAGCUUGCUACUUUGCCGGCGAGCGGCGGACGGGUGAGUAAUGUCUGGGAAACUGCCUGAUGGAGGGGGAUAACUACUGGAAACGGUAGCUAAUACCGCAUAACGUCGCAAGACCAAAGAGGGGGACCUUCGGGCCUCUUGCCAUCAGAUGUGCCCAGAUGGGAUUAGCUAGUAGGUGGGGUAAUGGCUCACCUAGGCGACGAUCCCUAGCUGGUCUGAGAGGAUGACCAGCCACACUGGAACUGAGACACGGUCCAGACUCCGACGGGAGGCAGCAGUGGGGAAUAUUGCACAAUGGGCGCAAGCCUGAUGCAGCCAUGCCGCGUGUAUGAAGAAGGCCUUCGGGUUGUAAAGUACUUUCAGCGGGGAGGAAGGCGUUGAGGUUAAUAACCUCACCGAUUGACGUUACCCGCAGAAGAAGCACCGGCUAACUCCGUGCCAGCCGCCGCCGUAAUAC